ACACUGCUGAGGAGUCCCAUCAUAAGACGAAACGGCCGUCCAGUAC
rnacentral:hammerhead_ribozyme from 1 species